rnacentral:rRNA from 1 species
GUGGGGAAUUUUGGACAAUGGGCGCAAGCCUGAUCCAGCAAUGCCGCGUGCAGGAAGAAGGCCUUCGGGUUGUAAACUGCUUUUGUCAGGGAAGAAAUCUUCUGGGCUAAUACCCCGGGAGGAUGACGGUACCUGAAGAAUAAGCACCGGCUAACUACGUGCCAGCAGCCGCGGUAAUACGUAGGGUGCGAGCGUUAAUCGGAAUUACUGGGCGUAAAGCGUGCGCAGGCGGUGCUGUAAGACAGGCGUGAAAUCCCCGGGCUCAACCUGGGAAUUGCGCUUGUGACUGCAGUGCUGGAGUGCGGCAGAGGGGGAUGGAAUUCCGCGUGUAGCAGUGAAAUGCGUAGAUAUGCGGAGGAACACCGAUGGCGAAGGCAAUCCCCUGGGCCUGCACUGACGCUCAUGCACGAAAGCGUGGGGAGCAAACAGGAUUAGAUACCCUUGUAGUCC